GAGUUUGAUCGUGGCUCAGAUUGAACGCUGGCGGCAUGCCUUACACAUGCAAGUCGAACGGUAACAGGUCUUCGGAUGCUGACGAGUGGCGAACGGUGAGUAAUACGAUCGGGAACGUGCCCGAUCGUGGGGGAUAACGGAGCGAAAGCUUUGCUAAUACCGCAUACGAUCUACGGAUGAAAGCAGGGGACCGCAGGCCUUGCGCGGAC
rnacentral:rRNA from 1 species